rnacentral:rRNA from 1 species
CCUACGGGAGGCUGCAGUGGGGAAUAUUGCACAAUGGGGGAAACCCUGAUGCAGCGACGCCGCGUGAGUGAAGAAGUAAUUCGUUAUGUAAAGCUCUAUCUGCAGGGAAGUAAAUGACGGUACCUGAGUACGAAGCCCCGGCUUACUACGUGCCAGCAGCCGCGGUAAUACGUAGGGGGCAGGCGUUAUCCGGAUUUACUGGGUGUAAAGGGCGUGUAGGCGGGAAAGAAAGUCAGAUGUGAAAGCCAUGGGCUCAACCUGUGGCCUGCAUUUGAAACUGUUUUUCUUGAGUACAGGGGAGGCAGACGGAAUUCCUAGUGUAGCGGUGAAAUGCGUAGAUAUUAGGAGGAACACCAGUGGCGAAGGCGGCAUACCGGCGCCCGACUGACGCUGAGGCACGAAAGCGUGGGUAUCGAACAGGAUUAGAUACCCGGGUAGUC